rnacentral:tRNA from 1 species
UAGCUCAGUCAGUUGAGCGUGGCGCUAACAACGCCAAGGUAGUGGGUUCGAUUCCUCU